rnacentral:rRNA from 1 species
AACGAACGCUGGCGGCAGGCUUAACACAUGCAAGUCGAACGCCCCGCAAGGGGAGUGGCAGACGGGUGAGUAACGCGUGGGAAUCUACCGUACCCUACGGAACAACAGUUGGAAACGACUGCUAAUACCGUAUACGCCCUUAGGGGGAAAGAUUUAUCGGGGUAUGAUGAGCCCGCGUUGGAUUAGCUAGUUGGUGGGGUAAAGGCCUACCAAGGCGACGAUCCAUAGCUGGUCUGAGAGGAUGAUCAGCCACAUUGGGACUGAGACACGGCCCAAACUCCUACGGGAGGCAGCAGUGGGGAAUAUUGGACAAUGGGCGCAAGCCUGAUCCAGCUAUGCCGCGUGAGUGAUGAAGGUCUUAGGAUAGUAAAGCUCUUUCACCGAUGAAGAUAAUGACGGUAGUCGGAGAAGAAGCCCCGGCUAACUUCGUGCCAGCCGCCGCGGUAA